ACCUUUCUCGGAAUCCUGAAAAGGAUAACUGCGGAAAUUCUGGAGCUAAUACAUGCGACUAUACUCCAACGCAAGGCGGGGUGCAAUUAUUAGAACAGACCAAACGUUUUCGGACGUUGUUUGUUGACUCUGAAUACCGUCGUUUACUGUCAGUUUCGACUGACUCUAUCCGAGAAGGGUGUCUGCCCUUUCAACUAGAUGGUAAUCUAUUGGACUACCAUGGUUGUUACGGGUAACGGAGAAUUAGGGUUCGACUCCGGAGAGGGAGCCUUAGAAACGGCUACCACGUCCAAGGAAGGCAGCAGGCGCGAAACUUAUCCACUGUUGAGUAUGAGAUAGUGACUAAAAAUAUAAAGACUCAUCCUUUUGGAUGAGUUAUUUCAAUGAGUUGAAUAUAAAUUAUUCUUCGAGUAGCAAGGAGAGGGCAAGUCUGGUGCCAGCAGCCGCGGUAAUUCCAGCUCUCCUAGUGUAUCUCGUUAUUGCUGCGGUUAAAAAGCUCGUAGUUGGAUCUAGGUUACGUGCCGCAGUUCGCAAUUUGCGUUAACUGUGGUCGUGACUUCUAAUUUGCUGGUUUGAGGUUGGGUUCGCCCUUCAACUGCCAGCAGGUUUACCUUGAAUAAAUCAGAGUGCUCAAUACAGGCGCUUGCUUGAAUAGCUCAUCAUGGAAUAAUGAAACAGGACUUCGGUUCUUUUUGUUGGUUCUAGAAUUGAUCUAAUGGUUAAGAGGGACAAACCGGGGGCAUUCGUAUCAUUACGCGAGAGGUGAAAUUCGUGGACCGUAGUGAGACGCCCAAUAGCGAAAGCAUUUGCCAAGAAUGUCUUCAUUAAUCAAGAACGAAAGUCAGAGGUUCGAAGGCGAUUAGAUACCGCCCUAGUUCUGACCGUAAACGAUGCCAUCUCGCGAUUCGGAGGGUUCAUGCCCUACCGAGGAGCUACCCGGAAACGAAAGUCUUUCGGUUCCGGGGGUAGUAUGGUUGCAAAGCUGAAACUUAAAGAAAUUGACGGAAGGGCACCACAAGGCGUGGAGCUUGCGGCUUAAUUUGACUCAACACGGGAAAACUCACCCGGUCCGGACACUAUUAGGACUGACAGAUUGAAAGCUCUUUCUCGAUUUGGUGGUUGGUGGUGCAUGGCCGUUCUUAGUUGGUGGAGGGAUUUGUCUGGUUUAUUCCGAUAACGAGCGAGACUCUAGCCU
rnacentral:rRNA from 1 species